UUAAGAAGCGCAGCAUUUGCGCUGAGUUAACCAUAUUAGAAACAAUUUAGAGCUCCGUCUGAGCCCUCUGGAAUGCCACGUCCUUUGGGACAGGUCCCUGUGAAAGAACUUUUGUGUUUUGACCGAAAUUGAACUUGCAAAUCCUUUGCCUCAGACUGUGAGAUGGACAUGGACUCGUGUGCCCCAGAGUCCCUAAGGCCCCUCCGUGACUUUUUCAGGGGCCUCCCCGAUUCUGACGGAAAAGCAGGCCAAGCAGCUCCUGAGAUCCCGGCGCCAGGACAGGCCGAGCAAACCCGGCUUCCCGGAUGAGCCCAUGCGGGACUUAGUACUUGAGUUCAUGAGGACGCUGUGUCAGAAGAGGUCACGGCUACGGUGAAGCCUCAAGAUCCUGAUGGAGGGAAAAAAAAACCUGCCUGAGGAGAAAUUGAUGAAGACAGGGCUGCGUGGAAAGAAGCGCUGCGUUUAGAGGGAAAAAGGUGGAAAAAAUAUUCUGAGCUUUCCCUGGAAUGUUUCCGCAGUCAUGACUGCUUGUGUUGAUUUCCAGGGUUUGGGUCUAAAUUCUUGCUACUCAAAAUGCGGUCCCGGGCCCGGCUGCCAGGUUCUCCUGGGGGCCUGUCAGACCUACAGAGCCUCAGGCUCCUCCCCACACCUCCUGCAGGCGGAUCUCCACCUCCACAAGGAACGGUGAUCUGGGCACACAUUUAAGUCUAAGAAGCACUGUCCUAGAGAACUGCAAAGGUGGCUCUUAGCCUCUGUUCCUGGUGUCCUGGGGAGUAGGAACCAGCCCAUGUUUGUUUUGUUUUCACACAAUGGAUUUCUCCUCCUUCCUUCUGGGCGCUCUGCUUAUUUGGAUUCCAGUGUUCCAGGACACCUCACCCCGAGCCUCUCCUCCUGUGUUGUGGGUUCUGCUGCUCAGUCCCAUUUGCUGGAUUCUUAGCCUCUGACAGUUCUUUAAAUGUCAGAGCAUCCCAAGGCUGUGCCCUCCCACUUCCUCUAGUCCCAAGAGUUUAAAUAUCACUUGUGUGCUGAUGGCCACGUGCUCCUAUCUCCAGCCAGCCUCUCCCGGGAGCUCUGGACUCGUUUACAAGACUGCCACUCGAUUCUUUGCACCAAAUUUAACAGACAGCUCAGACCUAAUGGCCCCAAGUGGCAUUCCCGGUUGAACCCCCGCACCAGCUCCUGCCCUUGCCUUCCACAUCAUGGUGAGUGGCGCCACCUCCUCCUAGUUGUGUGGGCCACAAAUCCGGAAUCUGACCACUGCUCACCCUCUGCUGCCACCCCCAGAGUCCCUGGAGUGGACCAAGCAAUACUCUUUUCCCCUGUCUCCCUGUUUCCUCUUUAGAUGCCUCUGCAUCUGUUCUCAACAGAGAAGUAACAGUCAGUUCUUAAAAAGGCAAAACCAGAUCCCAUCCCUCCCUCACUCAGAACCUUCCAAAGAAUUCCUAUCUUAGUAUGAAAAAAGUCCAUGGUCCUGCAGAGGCCUCCAAGGCCCGGGAGGCCUGUCCGCUCCCUCUGCCCCACCUCGGCCUCCACUUGCAUCUCCUCCCUGCCCUCUGCUCCGCCCCGCUGGCCGCCUCACUGUGCCUUGCACGCAUCAGGCUUACCUGCCCCUUCGUUGAUGAAGUUCAGACUGUGUAGAAAAGCAGGGUCAGGUUUAUUCUGCAACUUGCUUUUUUUCAUUCAACAAUGUGUCCCGUGCCAGCUCAUUCUUAACUGAAGUCUAGUAUAAUAAUGUAUUAUGCUAUGGUUUGCACGUUGGUUCCCCCCAGCCCCCGAACUCAUAUGUUGAAAUCCUAACUCCCAAGGGGAUGGCAUUAGGAGAUGCGGCCCAUGGGAGGUGCUUAGGGCGUGAGGGUAGAGCCCCCAUGAUUGGAAUUAGUGCCCUAAUAAAAGAGACUCUGGAGAGAUCCCUGGCCCUGUGUCCCAUGUGAGGACAAAAUGAGAAGUCUGUGACCUGAAAGAGGCCCUCGCCUGCCCAUACUGGCACCCUCACCUGGGACUUCCA